AAGUCGUAACAAGGUUUCCGUAGGUGAACCUGCGGAAGGAUCAUUAUCGAGUUUUUGAAGUGGGGUCGUCGUUUCUUGCGCUGGCAUUGCAGGUGCGCGGCGACGGCGGCUCCGCUUUUAUCCACUCAACAACCCCCCUGUGCACUUUGAAGCGAGGUCUUUUGUUGAAGUUGGCGUCAGCCGGCUUUUGUAAUUGACUAAGCUUUAUUAUUAUACAAACCCCAUCUAUUGUCUUGUAGAAUGUAAUGCCUCAUGAGUGGGCGAAAUAGUAAUACAACUUUCAACAACGGAUCUCUUGGCUCUC
rnacentral:misc_RNA from 1 species